rfam:Salmo salar isolate Sally breed double haploid chromosome ssa20, whole genome shotgun sequence.
UGCACUCACUACUGUAAGUCGCUUUGGAUAAGAGCAUCUGCUAAAUGACUAAAA